rnacentral:misc_RNA from 1 species
GAUGAAGAACGCAGCGAAAUGCGAUAAGUAAUGUGAAUUGCAGAAUUCAGUGAAUCAUCGAAUCUUUGAACGCACAUUGCGCCCGCUAGUAUUCUGGCGGGCAUGCCUGUCCGAGCGUCAUUUCAACCCUCAAGCCCCCGGGCUUGGUGUUGGGGAUCGGCGAGCCUCCGCGCCCGCCGUCCCCUAAAUCUAGUGGCGGUCUCGCUGUAGCUUCCUCUGCGUAGUAGCACACCUCGCACUGGGAAACAGCGCGGCCACGCCGUUAAACCCCCAACUUCUGAACGUUUGACCUCGGAUCAGGUAGGAAUAUCCGCUGAACUUAAGCAUAUCAAUAAGCGGAGGA